AGCAGCCGCGGUAAUUCCAGCUCCAAUAGCGUAUAUUAAAGUUGCUGCAGUUAAAAAGCUCGUAGUUGAAUUUCGGGACCAUCAUGUUGGUCGUGCCUCGGUACGUACUGGCAUUGUUGGUUUCUCCCUUCUGACGAACCAUGAUGUCAUUUAUUUGGUGUCGUGGGAAAUCAGGACUGUUACUUUGAAAAAUUAGAGUGUUUAAAGCAGGCUCACGCUUGAAUACAUUAGCAUGGAAUAAUGAAAUAGGACGUUUGAUUCUAUUUUGUUGGUUUCUAGGAUCGACGUAAUGAUUAAUAGGGAUAGUUGGGGGCAUUAGUAUUCAAUUGUCAGAGGUGAAAUUCUUGGAUUUAUUGAAGACUAACUACUGCGAAAGCAUUUGCCAAGGAUGUUUUCAUUAAUCAAGAACGAAAGUUAGGGGAUCGAAGACGAUCAGAUACCGUCGUAGUCUUAACCAUAAACUAUGCCGACUAGGGAUCGGAUGAUGUUAAUUUUUAAUAGACUCAUUC
rnacentral:misc_RNA from 1 species